rnacentral:piRNA from 1 species
UCAGCUAUUGAUUAAGAUAAU